rnacentral:lncRNA from 1 species
AUGAAGGACAAACAGAAGAGGAAGAAGGAGCGCACGUGGGCCGAGGCCGCGCGCCUGGUACUGGAAAACUAUUCGGAUGCUCCAAUGACACCCAAACAGAUUCUGCAGGUCAUAGAGGCAGAAGGACUAAAGGAAAUGAGCAGUGGGACAUCCCCUCUCGCAUGUCUUAAUGCCAUGCUACAUUCCAAUUCCAGAGGAGGAGAGGGGUUAUUUUAUAAACUACCUGGCCGAAUCAGCCUUUUUACACUCAAGAAGGAUGCCCUGCAGUGGUCUCGCAGUCCAGCUGUGGUGGAGGGAGAGGAGCCAGAGGACACAGCUGAUGUGGAGAGCUGUGGGUCUAAUGAAGCCAGCACUGUGAGUGGUGAAAACGAUGUUUCUCUCGAUGAAACAUCUUCGAAUGCUUCCUGUUCUACGGAAUCUCAGAGUCGGCCUCUUUCCAACCCCAGGGACAGCUACAGAGCUUCCUCACAGGCAAACAAGCAGAAGAAAAAGACAGGGGUGAUGCUGCCUCGAGUUGUCCUGACUCCUCUGAAGGUAAACGGGGCCCACGUGGAAUCAGCAUCAGGGUUCUCGGGCCGCCACGCCGAUGGCGAGAGCGGCAGCCCGUCCAGCAGCAGCGGCGGCUCUCCGGCCCUGGGCAGCGCUGCUAUCCGUGGCCAGGCCGAGCUCGCCCGGGACCCUGCCCCGCUCCUAAGAGGCUUCCGGAAGCCGGCCACAGGUCAAAUGAAGCGCAACAGAGGGGAAGAGAUAGAUUUUGAGACGCCUGGGUCCAUUCUUGUCAACACCAACCUCCGGGCCCUGAUCAACUCGCGGACCUUCCAUGCCCUGCCGUCCCACUUCCAGCAGCAGCUCCUGUUCCUCCUGCCCGAAGUAGACAGACAGGUGGGGACUGAUGGCCUGUUACGUCUCAGCAGUAGUGCGCUGAACAAUGAGUUUUUCACCCACGCAGCUCAGAGCUGGCGGGAACGCCUGGCUGAUGGUGAAUUCACUCAUGAGAUGCAGGUCAGGAUACGACAAGAAAUGGAGAAGGAAAAGAAAGUGGAACAAUGGAAAGAAAAGUUUUUCGAAGACUACUAUGGACAGAAGUUGGGUUUAACCAAAGAAGAGUCAUUGCAGCAGAAUGUGGGCCAGGAGGAGGCUGAAAUCAAGAGUGACCUGCGUGUCUCAGAAUCAACACGACCACAGCGUGGCCCAGCCACCCGGCAGCGAGAUGGGCAUUUCAAGAAACGCUCUCGGCCAGAUCUUCGAACCAGAGCCCGAAGGAAUCUGUACAAAAGACAGGAGCCAGAACAAGCAGAGAUCGCUAAAGACACACAGUCCGUGGCACUAGACAUCCCCCUCCACAAGGACGGGGAGGCUAAGACCGACGCAACAGGGGUGGGCAGCCCCCACCCACCUGGCACGUCCUCCGCAGCAUCCAACCCAGAGAGUCCCGAAUUCCCAGCGGAAACUGUGUCCUCCCGGCUCCAGCCCAGUCCCAAUGACCCAGCAUGUGUCUCUGCGUCUCCAGACAGAAUUCCCAGCUUGCUGCAGGAGACCGUGGAUCAGGAACCCAAGGAUCAGAAGAGGAAAUCCUUUGAGCAGGCGACCUCUGCCUCCUUUCCCGAAAAGAAGCCCCGGCUUGAAGAUCGUCAGUCCUUUCGUAACACAAUUGAAAGUGUUCACCCCGAAAAGCCACAGCCCACCAAAGAGGAGCCCAAAGUCCCGCCCAUCCGGAUUCAACUUUCACGUAUCAAACCACCCUGGGUGGUUAAAGGUCAGCCCACUUACCAGAUAUGUCCCCGCAUCGUCCCCAUCACGGAGUCCUCCUGCCGGGGCUGGACUGGUGCCAGGACCCUUGCAGACAUUAAAGCCCGUGCUCUGCAGGUCCGAGGGGCGAGAGGCCACCACUGCCAUCGAGAGGCGGCCACCACUGCCAUCGGAGGUGGGGGUGGCCCGGGUGGAGGUGGCGGCGGGGCCACCGAUGAGGGAGGUGGCAGAGGCGGCGGCAGUGGUGAUGGUGGUGAGGCCUGUGGCCACCCUGAGCCCCGGGGAGCCCCGAGUGCCCCUGGAGAGCGUGCGUCAGAUCUACAGCGAACACAACUACUGCCGCCUUGUCCUCUAAGUGGGGAUCAUGCCCAGGCCGAAACUGCCGUGUCCAGAGCCAGGAGAGAGGACCUGGCUUCUCUCGGAAAGGGGAAGAGCUGCCCACUGCAGAAGGUCCUAGAUGGCCCCAACAGCGGGCUGGAAGAUGCCUUCCAACUCCCCGUUGUACCCACUCGGGACCCGCCAUGCCAGGCUUUGCCCCCACUGCCCUCUAGAAUCCCAGAACCUGAGAGGUUAGUUGAGCAGCUUGUGUUGCAUCCAGAAGGUAGAACUGAAUGCGGGUCUGGUACCACUGCCUGGGAAAGGGGUGAUGAGGAGCCAGCACCUACGAUCCCCUCAGAGAACAGUCCUGUUCGGGCUCUGGAGAGGCCUAUUGGAUUAGAAGAAGGAACUGGCCAGGCUCCAGACAGCAGCAGUAAUCCCACCAUGAAGGAUCUUGUGAACGUGACCCCCAGUUCCAUCCCCGAAUCAUCCUUGGCCAGUUGCCUGCAAGACAGACUAUUUGAUGAUGAAUCAGAACUUGAUGACUCUGGCCCACCCACAAGAGAAAGUGCUUCUAGACAGGAAAACUUGAAAACUGAGGCUCCUGUCUCCCCUGGUGCUGCUCCUUGGAGGCCUGGCCUGUCAAAUGACGAGGCAGCAGGACAACCUGAGCCCGACUCCAGAGAAGAGGUCCCAUCCGCUAAGUCCCAGGUCAGAGAGAAGUGGGAGAAAGCGGCCCCCCUCAUCCCGGCAUCGCCUGCGGGCUUGACAGCGGAGGAGGGUCUGGAUCCGCCCGUCUGCUUGGCUUCACUCUGGACAGUGCCCUCUGGCUGUGUUGACAGUGGCGGCAGCGACUGCAAACAGCUGGACGGUGACAAGCCCAGAGUCAAUGGAGACUUGGAAGCCCUGAGUCCUCACAGCGAGUCCACAGACACCGCCUCUGACUGUGAGGGCCACCUCUCCGAGGACAGCAGUGAGGCCGAGCCUAGUGCAGCCUUGGGGCUGAAGAGGUCCUUGGUGGCAGAGCAGGGUGAGAAACACAACCGGAACCGCUGUGCCUCGCUCUCCAAGGUGAAUGGCAACCUGAGUCUGGUCCCCAGGACAGAUGGGAUGGUUGCUCCUCAGAGCUGGGUGUCUCGAGUAUGUGCAGUUCCCCCAAAGAUCCCGGACUCCCUGCUGCUGGCCAGUCCCGAGUACCAGCCGAGACCCGUGUCCCUGGGCAGGCCCACGUCCUCUGUGGAGGCUGCUAACCCCCUUGUGAUGCAGUUGCUGCAGGGCCACUUGCCCCUCAAGAAGGUUCUCCCUCCAGCCCACGGCGGCAGCAAACCCGAGCCCCCACGACUCCCACUUACAGCAGAGCAGAGCCCUGGUGGCUCCCUGGGGGUGGGAUCAUUGCAGGAUCCUGGGGAGAACAGGUGCGGAGUUGGCAAGAGCAGUCCAGAGUCUCUGCUACCUGAGAGCUGUGAAGCAAGUACCGGCUUUGCCCGGCUGGAGGCCAGCCAGGCUCCUGGGGCACCUCUAAAGAUGUCCAAGAACGCCCCAAGUUUAGACUCUCUAUAUCCAGUGACCAAUCCAGUGGCUGCCUCUGGAAAAGCAGAAGUGGAUUUCAAAGAGCAGUUACCUCCCUUCAGCUUUGAAGAUCAGAAGGAAGCCCGUGACCUGUCCCAGUGCAGUAUUUCAACUGCUGCCCCAGGUGUGAGUCUGGGAAAUCUCACUACCUCGAGAGCCCCUCUUUUCUCAUCUCCAAAUGCGGUCUCCUCGGGUCCUGAUCAGGCAGGUCGGGCCCUGGGGGAUCAGAACAGUGCAGGAGGCCAAGGGAAGAAGCUCUUUGGCUCUAAGAACACAGCUGCAGCCCUUCAGUGCCCCCGGCUGGUGGAGCCGACGCCACUGCCUGCGGAUGCCCCUCACGCUUUUCCCAAUAGGAAGUCAGGGCCAGGCAAAACCUCUCUGUCUGGUGGGGUACAGACUGCCAGGGAAGACUGGGUCCCAAAGCCACCACCUGCCUCUGUUGGCAGCAUCAAGAGCGAGAAGACUCUUGGUGGAGGGCCUCUCAAGGCGGAUGCAGAGAACAGAAAGGCAGUGGGGCCUGGUCCCCGGGAUCUGGUGGAUCACUUGCAAGGGAUGCCCUUUGUCCUUGAUUUGCCUUUCUGGAAAUUACCCCGGGAGCCCGGGAAAGGGCUCAGUCAGCCUCUGGAGCCUUCUUCCAUCCCCUCCCAACUCAACAUCAAGCAGGCAUUUUAUGGGAAGCUUUCCAAACUCCAGCUGAGUUCCACCAGCUUUAAUUAUUCCUCCGGCUCCCCCCCCUUUCCCAAAGGCCUGGCCGGAAGUGUGGUGCAGCUGAGCCACAAAGCAAACUUUGGUGCAAGCCACAGUGCGUCCCUCUCCUUGCAAAUGUUCACCGACAGCAGCACAGUGGAAAGCAUCUCGCUCCAGUGUGCGUGCAGCCUGAAAGCCAUGAUCAUGUGCCAGGGCUGCGGCGCGUUCUGUCACGAUGACUGUAUUGGACCCUCAAAGCUCUGUGUAUUGUGCCUUGUGGUGAGAUAAUAAAUUAUGGCCAUGGGAAAAGUUGUAUAUUUAGUGUGUGUAUUUUGAUAAUGAUGGAUCUUAAAUCUGUAUACAGAAUAUCAUUGAUAAAACAGACUCUGUCUCUCUAGGCAAGAGUUCUCUUGCUGCUCCCUGAAAUCUACAGUGCUAAAGCCCCUUGGCCACUUGUCGGCCCUUUGGGUCUUGCUGGAAGGGUUUCCUGCAGGGCAGCUCGCUGGGCUGCCUAAGGCCGGCCAGCUAGCCCGAGCUCUCGUCACAGAGACAGAGCCUGGUGCGAUGUGGGGGAGCCUCCCUGAGACUUGGAGGGUCUUGAAACUGAAGCGAGAAGGUUGUGUUCUCCACCCAGGGGACUAACCUACCCGAACUGAGUAGAAAUGUCAGUCUUCCACUGCCCCCUCCAUCUUUCCUGCGGCUGCUCCUCUGGGGAGUUGAUGGGGAAGAAGCCAGCACAGGGUUAAAGCAGCUCCCAGCAGUGCCCACCAGGGGGCUUAAGCACCUGCUGACCUCAGGGUCACAGCCAGUCAUUUGCCAGUUGAUGGAGCCAGUGUGAUCUUCGGUUCUGUUGCUGAGGCCAGUUUGCCCUGUCUCCGAAUAACCCACUUGCCUGCAGGAGCUUUCGGAACCUCGAACAGACCUUCUUGGACAACAGGUCAGGGCUAGGAUUGUCUUUCCUCCUUGUAAGUCAGGUGUCCAGACGUUUGGCAGGUGAAUUCAUCUGUGCAACAGCUUGGGCAUCACUUUGGACUCUGUGGGAGUGGGCAUCUCCAACACACCUGUGUAUGUGAAACUCAUUUUACAUUUCAAAGCAGUGUGUUUUUCUUAUUUUUAUAUUUUUAACUCUUUAUCCUUGGAUGUAUAAAGUGAACUUUUGGCUUCUGUAAGUAUGCUCUAUGCACCUCUGAUGUUUUACCAUAUAUUUAUAUGUUGUACACAGUACUGGCCGAUUCUGUAAAUGGAUGUAUUGUACAGAGAACACGAACGACUCUCCCUUAUUUCGCGUCUUCAGCAUCGUUGCAUUAAAGUGGUGUAAUUGACUUCUCUCCACCCGUGUCAGAGCCACUGCGUGCUGUGCCGCCCAACACGAGGGGUGGAGCGAUUGACUUAACGACCUGCCGGUUGUCCCGGUGUUUGGUCACCGGUCAGCCACUGGACCUGCUGCAGCUGCAGAGCCACUGGCAGCCUGGCCACUCGUUGCUGGGCAAACUUGUCUUGCUCCUCAUCUCUUCCCCAGCCUCCACUGGCAGCGCCCUGCCGUGUGUGACAGAUCACCACCACCAGUGUUAAGUGCUUCUGGAUUCUCGGGUGAGCGCCCUGGGCAGCCCCCAGGUGGGCCUUCCGUUCCCAGCUCCAGGCUCACCACCUGUCUGCAGUAACGGGACCACACUCUCCUGGGGCCGCAGGGCUCCACUGGACACACCUGUGACAGCAGGUUAAGGAAGAAGCAGCUGUGCCAGCCUCCGGCCUCUCUCCCAACAUGUUCCCAGCAAGUAGAUGUGUCCAGAGCUGUCUCGCCUCCUGCUUCCUGCCUUAUCUUGUACCUCGAGUUGUGAGUCGAGCCUCCUCCUUGUUGAACUUAGGUCUCACUGUGCGAGUGCGUCUGUGUGAGCUGUGAAGUUGGUGUGACUUCAGCAAGCCUCGUUUCAUCUGGAAGGUCUUGUCUUUCCCCCACUUUCCCUCCAGUGUGGCAUUUGUGUCAUCUGCAGCACGAGUGGGAAGUUGGCAAAGACAUGGUGAUUUAAGUGCAGUAUUGGCCAAGUCCCGGUUGUCAGCUUCCAGAGUCUUGUUUACCAAAGACAGGGAGCAGAGGCCCAAGCGUGUUUGAUCCUCUUCUUCCUUCUGCUGUGACCUUUGGGGCCACUCGAGGGGACAGUUGGAGACUGGUCCGCCAGGGAAAGCACUGCUCUUGUAUGUCUCUGUGGUCUUGGAAAAAUAAACCUGUACAACGUGCACUUGUGGUCUCUGUC